rnacentral:rRNA from 1 species
CUACCCGCGCCCCAAGUGGUGGUCGAUAUUAUUGAGCCUAAAACGUCCGUAGCCGGUCUUCUAAAUCCUUGGGUAAAUCGGGCAGCUUAACUGUCCGAAGUCCGGGGAGACUGGGAGACUUGGGACCGGGAGAGGUCAGAGGUACUUCUGGGGUAGGGGUAAAAUCCUGUAAUCCUGGAAGGACCACCGGUGGCGAAGGCGUCUGACUAGAACGGAUCCGACGGUGAGGGACGAAGCCCUGGGGCGCAAACGGGAUUAGAUACCCCGGUAGUCCAGGGUGUAAACGCUGCGGGCUUGGUGUUGGGGGUCCUUAGUGGGCGCCCAGUGCCGGAGAGAAGUUGUUAAGCCUGCUGCUUGGGGAGUAUGUCCGCAAGGAUGAAACUUAAAUGAAUUGGCGGGG